rfam:Candidatus Woesebacteria bacterium RBG_13_36_22 RBG_13_scaffold_1148, whole genome shotgun sequence.
UCUGGAGAAAGAGCAAUUGCCGGGUAUCGUAAGGUACUCGGAGGAAAGUCCAGGCAGCAGAAGGCAGGGUGCCUAGCGUAAGCUGGGACGCGUAAGCGCUAGUUUAGAGCAACAGAGACGAUUCUGAUUCAAGCUAAAAACUUGAAUUAGGGUGAAACGGGCAAUCCUCCCCGCUGCAACCUACGAAAUGAGCGUUAUUAGGUAGCCUUCCCGAGCUCAAAGGUUUAGGGCAUAGAUAGAUAAUUGCUUAGAAACAGAACCUGGCUUACUAAUCUCCAGAGUUU